CCAACCCCUGUGAACAUACCAUUUGUUGCCUCGGCGGUGCCUGCUUCGGCAGCCCGCCAGAGGACCCAAACCCUUGAUUUUAUACAGUAUCUUCUGAGUAAAUGAUUAAAUAAAUCAAAACUUUCAACAACGGAUCUCUUGGUUCUGGCAUCGAUGAAGAACGCAGCGAAAUGCGAUAAGUAAUGUGAAUUGCAGAAUUCAGUGAAUCAUCGAAUCUUUGAACGCACAUUGCGCCCGCCAGUAUUCUGGCGGGCAUGCCUGUUCGAGCGUCAUUUCAACCCUCAAGCCCCCGGGCUUGGUGUUGGAGAUCGGCGUGCCCUCCGGGGCGCGCCGGCUCCCAAAUAUAGUGGCGGUCUCGCUGUAGCUUCCUCUGCGUAGUAGCACACCUCGCACUGGAAAACAGCGUGGCCACGCCGUUAAACCCCCCACUUCUGAAAGGUUGACCUCGGAUCAGGUAGGAAUACCCGCUGAACUUAAGCAUAUCAAUAGGC
rnacentral:rRNA from 1 species